CUGGCCAAAAGAAGUUUUGGGUCAAACGAUGCUUCGUCCUACUGACGCCUAGAUGUCCUGAUAAAGGAAUGUCAUGGGCAAUACGUAGUAAUUCUUGCCUGUACUUUCGGGGCACGACUAAUUGUGUGAGGGUCAUGGGUACAAAUCCUGCUACUACCUUCUCAGCAUAUCUAUGUAAUAAUCCUUUCUCCCAAGCGUAUCUUUCCCCCUCUAACCCUGCCUGAUUCUGUGUAGCCCUAUCCCGGUAUACCUGCAGGGACGGGUCGGUGACUACUUCAGUACCAAAUUCUAAGGGGGGAGCCCAGGGGACGAAAGGUGGGUCAGUACUGUUACUUACCGGAGCCUCAGAGUGUUCAGAAGAUGCGGUGGUGCGGGCCUGCUGCCGUGUUAUCACGGGUAGCGCUUCCUGCGCGGGGUGCUGAGAAACAAAAGCGGAGGUCAGCUCCCCCAAGUCGUUACCCAGGAUGACAUCAGCUGGUAAGUCCUGCAUGAAGCCCACUUCC